UACGUAGGUUGCGAGCGUUAUUAGGAUUUACUGGGCGUAAAGAGCACCGAGGUGGCUUCUUAAGUUGGAUGUGAAAUCUCCUGGCUUAACCGGGAGGCGCCAUUCAAAACUGGGGAGCUUGAGGUCAGCAGGGGAAGGUGGAAUUCCCGGUGUAGUGGUGGAAUGCGUAGAGAUCGGGAGGAACACCAGUGGCGAAAGCGACCUUCUGGGCUGCACCUGACACUCUAGUGCGAAAGCGUGGGGAGCAAACAGG
rnacentral:rRNA from 1 species